rnacentral:rRNA from 1 species
AGCGAACGCUGGCGGCAGGCUUAACACAUGCAAGUCGAGCGGGCACUUUCGGGUGUCAGCGGCGGACGGGUGAGUAACGCGUGGGAACGUGCCCUCUGGUUCGGAAUAACUCAGGGAAACUUGAGCUAAUACCGGAUACGCUCUUUUGGGGAAACGCUUGCUGCCGGAGGAUCGGCCCGCGUCUGAUUAGCUUGUUGGUGAGGUAACGGCUCACCAAGGCGACGAUCCGUAGCUGGUCUGAGAGGAUGAUCAGCCACACUGGGACUGAGACACGGCCCAGACUCCUACGGGAGGCAGCAGUGGGGAAUAUUGGACAAUGGGCGCAAGCCUGAUCCAGCCAUGCCGCGUGAGUGAUGAAGGCCUUAGGGUUGUAAAGCGCUUUUAUCCGGGACGAUAAUGACGGUACCGGAGGAAUAAGCCCCGGCUAACUUCGUG